rnacentral:rRNA from 1 species
UACGGAGGGUGCAAGCGUUAUCCGGAUUCACUGGGUUUAAAGGGCGCGUAGGCGGUCAGCACAAGUCAGUUGUGAAAUCUCCGGGCUUAACUCGGAAAGGUCAACUGAUACUGUGCGACUAGAGUGCGGAAGGGGCAACUGGAAUUCUCGGUGUAGCGGUGAAAUGCGUAGAUAUCGAGAGGAACACCUGCGGCGAAGGCGGGUUGCUGGGCCGACACUGACGCUGAUGCGCGAAAGCCAGGGGAGCGAACGGG